GACGAACGCUGGCGGCGUGCCUAACACAUGCAAGUCGAACGGAAAGGCCCUGCUUUUGUGGGGUGCUCGAGUGGCGCACGGGUGAGUAACACGUGUGUACCUCCCCCUUAGCUUGGGGUCAACUCACGGAAACUGGGGCAAUAACCGCCUAGACGCUCCCGCUGCACGGGGGGGGUUGGAGAAUUCCGGCUGUUGGGGAUCGACGCGCCGCUUCUCCGCUUGUUGGGGGGGGUGGGGCUUACCAAGCCUUUGGCGGGUAGCCGGCCUGAGAGGGUGACCGGCCACAUUGGGACUGAGGUACGGCCCAGACCCUUACGGGAGGCAGAAGUGGGGUAUAUUACACAAUGGGCGGAAGCCUGGUGCAGCACCGCCGCGUGCGGGAUGACGGGCUUCGGGUUGUAAACCGCUGUGGCCUGUGAUGAAGCGUGAGUGACGGUAAUGGGUAGAUAAGCACCGGCUAAGUACGUG
rnacentral:rRNA from 1 species